rnacentral:misc_RNA from 1 species
UCAUAACAAAAUCCCACAACCAAAAAUUCAAUCCUCGAGUAAAAUAAACACAAAAAUACAGUGACUGUAAAGCAAGGACUUAACAAAUUUUUAACCCAAAAAACCAAUUCUGAAUCUAUCCACUUCUACUUCUCAGCAAAAACAGUUUUUGCUCUAGAAUAAAAUCAACAAAAAUUUACUCAGAAAUCGAUAAUCAUACCUCUUGAACUCAAUAGAUCAAUUG